UGGGGAAUCUUGGACAAUGGGGGCAACCCUGAUCCAGCCAUGCCGCGUGAGUGAUGAAGGCCUUAGGGUCGUAAAGCUCUUUCGCCUGUGAAGAUAAUGACGGUAGCAGGUAAAGAAACCCCGGCUAACUCCGUGCCAGCAGCCGCGGUAAUACGGAGGGGGUUAGCGUUGUUCGGAAUUACUGGGCGUAAAGCGCACGUAGGCGGACCAGAAAGUUGGGGGUGAAAUCCCGGGGGCUCAACCCCGGAACUGCCUCCAAAACUAUUGGUCUAGAGUUCGAGAGAGGUGAGUGGAAUUCCAAGUGUAGAGGUGAAAUUCGUAGAUAUUUGGAGGAACACCAGUGGCGAAGGCGGCUCACUGGCUCGAUACUGACGCUGAGGUGCGAAAGUGUGGGGAGCAAACAGGAUUAGAUACCCUGGUAGUCCACACCGUAAAACGAUGAAUGCCAGUCGUCGGGUAGCAUGCUAUUCGGUGACACACCUAACGGAUUAAGCAUUCCGCCUGGGGAGUACGUCGCAAGAUUAAAACUCAAAUGAAUUG
rnacentral:rRNA from 1 species